rnacentral:rRNA from 1 species
ACUCAAAUGAAUAGACGGGGGCCCGCACAAGCGGCGGAGCAUGUUGCUUAAUUCGACGCAACGCGAAGAACCUUACCAAGGUUUGACAUCACCCGGAAAGCUUCAGAGAUGGAGCCCUCUUCGGACUGGGUGACAGGUGGUGCAUGGCUGUCGUCAGCUCGUGUCGUGAGAUGUUGGGUUAAGUCCCGCAACGAGCGCAACCCUUGUUCCAUGUUGCCAGCGGCGCCUUCGGGCGGCCGGGGACUCAUGGGAGACUGCCGGGGUCAACUCGGAGGAAGGUGGGGAUGACGUCAAGUCAUCAUGCCCCUUAUGUCUUGGGCUGCAAACAUGCUACAAUGGCCGGUACAGAGGGCUGCUAAGCCGUGAGGCGGAGCGAAUCCCUAAAAGCCGGUCUCAGUUCGGAUUGGGGUCUGCAACUCGACCCCAUGAAGUCGGAGUCGCUAGUAAUCGCAGAUCAGCAACGCUGCGGUGAAUACGUUCCCGGGCCUUGUACACACCGCCCGU